UACGAAGGGGGCUAGCGUUGCUCGGAAUCACUGGGCGUAAAGCGCACGUAGGCGGCGCGUUAAGUCGGGUGUGAAAGCCCUGGGCUCAACCCAGGAAGUGCAUUCGAAACUGGCGCGCUUGAAUAUGGAAGAGGGUCGCGGAAUUCCCGGUGUAGAGGUGAAAUUCGUAGAUAUCGGGAGGAACACCAGUGGCGAAGGCGGCGACCUGGGCCAAUAUUGACGCUGAGGUGCGAAAGCGUGGGGAGCAAACAGG
rnacentral:rRNA from 1 species